UACGUAGGGCGCAAGCGUUAUCCGGAAUUAUUGGGCGUAAAGAGCUCGUAGGCGGUUUGUCGCGUCUGCCGUGAAAGUCCGGGGCUCAACUCCGGAUCUGCGGUGGGUACGGGCAGACUAGAGUGAUGUAGGGGAGACUGGAAUUCCUGGGUGUAGCGGUGAAAUGCGCAGAUAUCAGGAGGAACACCGAUGGCGAAGGCAGGUCUCUGGGCAUUAACUGACGCUGAGGGGCGAAAGCAUGGGGAGCGAACAGG
rnacentral:rRNA from 1 species